AGGUUACACCCUGCCCCACACUAAAACAUCCUCAUUCUUCAUCUCAAACUCUGCCCUAUAAAUACAGCUGUGAAAACAGACGUCAGACACAAAUUACUCUGCUUUCUGCAUCGGGUGAAAACUUUUUACUGCACUUCUAAACAAGUCAAAAUGAGCGACCCCAAAGCCCAGGGAAAAGGCCAAGAACAAGGGAAAGGAAAAGCCCAAGAACAUGGACAUGGGCAAGGAAAAGGCCAAGAACAAGGGAAAGGAAAACCCCAAGAACAUGGACAUGGGCAUGGAAAAGGCCAAGAACAAGCAAAAGGAAAAGCACCUACUGGUCCCAGAUAAAUAAUGAAUCAUCAUCAUUUCUAAGAGAUAAAGAUGUCUUUAAUAAACUAACAUAGAAAACAA